UCAUCUCUGGGCCUGACACUCGUAUCAAAUUCCAGUGUCCUCGUACACGGAGAGCCCAGCAUACUGCUAA
rnacentral:rRNA from 11 species